rnacentral:rRNA from 1 species
UACGUAGGGGCCGAGCGUUGUCCGGAAUUAUUGGGCGUAAAGAGCUCGUAGGCGGUUUGUCGCGUCUGCUGUGAAAACCUAAGGCUCAACCUUGGGCUUGCAGUGGGUACGGGCAGACUAGAGUGCGGUAGGGGUGACUGGAAUUCCUGGUGUAGCGGUGGAAUGCGCAGAUAUCAGGAGGAACACCGAUGGCGAAGGCAGGUCACUGGGCCGCAACUGACGCUGAGGAGCGGAAAGCAUGGGGAGCGAACAGG